rnacentral:rRNA from 1 species
AGUGAACGCUGGCGGUAGGCCUAACACAUGCAAGUCGAGCGGCAGCACAGUAAGAGCUUGCUCUUACGGGUGGCGAGUGGCGGACGGGUGAGGAAUACAUCGGAAUCUACUUUUUCGUGGGGGAUAACGUAGGGAAACUUACGCUAAUACCGCAUACGACCUACGGGUGAAAGCAGGGGAUCUUCGGACCUUGCGCGAUUGAAUGAGCCGAUGUCGGAUUAGCUAGUUGGCGGGGUAAAGGCCCACCAAGGCGACGAUCCGUAGCUGGUCUGAGAGGAUGAUCGGCCACACUGGAACUGAGACACGGUCCAGACUCCUACGGGAGGCAGCAGUGGGGAAUAUUGGACAAUGGGCGCAAGCCUGAUCCAGCCAUACCGCGUGGGUGAAGAAGGCCUUCGGGUUGUAAAGCCCUUUUGUUGGGAAAGAAAAGCAGCAGGUUAAUACCCCGCUGUUCCGACGGUACCCAAAGAAUAAGCACCGGCUAACUUCGUG